AUCUAUCCUAAAAAUUUCAGAAUGCUUGUUUCUAUCUAGCUACUUGACAGAUGCUAUGGGCUUAUCCUGACACCUAGGUCACAGAGGAAGGCAGUGAAAGGGGUAUGGAGUUGGUGAUGACGACCAAUGCUGCUUUACCUUUGGCAACAAUUCUUCUAUUGAGCCCAGGACAAGGCGGCCAUUCAGCUAAGUGAGCUGGAAGAGGAAAUGGAUCAGAGGAUUCAAGCUGUGGAAAAUGAGACCCGAAAAGAUGAAAAACGCAAAGCUGAGGAAGCUCUCACUGACCUCAGACGUCAGUAUGAAACAGAAGUAGGAGAUUUACAAGUGACCAUUAAAAGGUUAAAAAAGCUUGAAGAGCAGUCAAGAAAAAUAAGUCAAAAGCAAGAUGUGACUUCAUUAAAGAAACAAAUUUAUGAUUUAACAACGGAAAAUCAAAAACUCAAAAAAGAUCUUUUGGAGACACAGACAAAUUUAGCCUUUCUUCAGAGUGAACUAGAUGCUUUGAAAAGUGAUUAUGCUGACCAGACUAUGAAUUCUGAACGGGAUCUGGAACUAAUCCGAGAGUUCAAUGAAGAUCGAAGUAAUCUUGAGAGGCAAAUUGAAGUCCUCCAAACAGCUAACCGGAAGCUUCAUGAUAGUAAUGACGGCCUUAGAAGUGCCCUUGAAAACACUUACAGCAAGCUCACCAAAUCCUUGCGUAUGAAUAACAUAUCACCAGGGAAUACAAUUUCUAGCAGCAGUCCCAAGUUUAAUCAUCAUUCUUCUCAACCACUGGGCUACGAUAGAAGAUGAAUUAUGAAGUUGACAGCCUCCCCGAAAGCUGUUUUGACAGUGGCCUGUCUACUCUGAGAGAUUCUAAUGAGUGUGAUUCUGAGGUGGACUACAAGCCCCAGGAAGGAUUUCAGAGUUUGCACAGAACAGAGGAGAGCCUUGAGGGAGAUACGUCAGACACAGAUGUUCCUGAUAUGAGGGAUGAAGAAACAUUCGAUUGUGAAAGCGUGGCCUCUGUCUUACACGGGCAUCCCCAGGGGUCUGCUGGUGAGGGCAGCACUGUUAGUUCCUCCAGAAAGACCAUCUCAGCUCUUUCACCUGAAACAUGGUGAAUAACACCUUGAAGUCCACAUCUCAGAAGGCUUACAAGAUUGUGCUGGCCGGUGAUGCUGCAGUGGGAAAGUCCAGCUUCCUCAUGCGACUCUGCAAGAAUGAGUUUCAGGGAAACACAAGUGCAACCCUAGG
rnacentral:lncRNA from 1 species